rnacentral:rRNA from 1 species
GACGAACGCUGGCGGCGUGCUUAACACAUGCAAGUCGAACGGUGAAGCGCCUUCCUUUUUGGUGGGUGUGGAUGAGUGGCGAACGGGUGAGUAACACGUGAGUAACCUGCCCCCUUCUUCUGGAUAACCGCAUGAAAGUGUGGCUAAUACGGGAUAUUCUGGGUCUGUCGCAUGAUGGGUCUGGGAAAGAUAUUGUUUCGGUGGGGGAUGGGCUCGCGGCCUAUCAGCUUGUUGGUGGGGUGAUGGCCUACCAAGGCGGUGACGGGUAGCCGGCCUGAGAGGGUGGACGGUCACACUGGGACUGAGACACGGCCCAGACUCCGACGGGCAGCAGCAGUGGGGAAUAUUGCACAAUGGGCGCAAGCCUGAUGCAGCGACGCCGCGUGAGGGAUGGAGGCCUUCGGGUUGUGAACCUCUUUCGCCAGUGAAGCAGGCCUGCCUCGUUUGUGGGUGGGUUGACGGUAGCUGGAUAAGAAGCGCCGGCUAACUACGUG